CAGCGAUAUGUCCUCAAUCCUUUUGCAGCUGCAUCUGCUCCCUCCAACCUCAAGAGGCCAGAAAAAAAAUAUCCAAGAUCAGUUCAGUUCAAUCAACCAGCCAUCUUGUGAGCUACCUUAAGGAAGGAGCCAGUGUGACUACCUUCAUUGAGAGUGCUGACACAAGACAACCAUUUCUCCUCUGCAUCGGUGAGCGAAAGAAGGAUAUCCAAAAGUUCUACAUUAUUAUCGACCAAAAGGCGAUCCCAUGUAAGGCGCACACAUCAGUGGCAGCUUUUGAUGAACUGUUCAAAGCUCACUAUGUCUUCAGUUUCUCAUAUGAUGAAGCUCUUUGUGAUUUCUACACAUUUAUCCAAACCACCAUCUAUAACAUCGAUGUCGGAAGAGCAAAGGAGAGCCCGCGUGUUAAAGAACUUUGAGCACGAUUGCUGCAGCGAGAUUAACUGCCU
ensembl:lncRNA